UAUACAGUCUUGACGUACGCCUUUCCCAGUUUGGAACCAGCCCAUUGUUCCUUGUCCAGUUUUAACUGUUGAUUCUUGACCUGCAUACAGGUUUAUCAGGAGGCAGGUAAGAUGGUCCGAUAUUCCCAUCUGUCUAAGAUCAUUUUUUCACUGACCCUGUGAGGCGGGUGUUGAGCCCUGAGUGUCUUGCUUAUGGAGCAACACACUGUGGGGACAGUGCCAGGUGGGGAAUUUGACUGGGGUGGUACACCUGUCAAAGGUAACGCAGGUUUCCUAAGGUGAGCUCAGGGAGGACAGAAACCUCCCGUGGAGCAGAAGGACAAAAGCUCACUUGAUCUUGAUUUUCAGUAUAUAAUAGUUAAAACCUCCCCUUAUUCCGGAUUGCUGGCAUCAACUAAUCUAUUCUUCUUCCAAAUACAUUUGCUUUCUUUUAGGUUUUCAUAUUUCUGGACUCAUAUAACACGUAACCUUUGGCCAUUGACUUCUUUCACUCAGCAUAAUGUCUCUGAGAUUCAUCAGUAAUGUCGCAUGUUCCUUUUUAUUGUAUGCAGUAGUAUACUAAUAGUAGUUAAUAAUAUUUGCAAUAGUAACCCAUUAAUAGAAGAAUGGUUACUUUUAAAUCCAUUGGCUUAUUGAAGGACGUUUAAGUUAGUUUUAGUGUUAGAUGAUUAUGAAUAAAAUGUCUAUAAGCAUUCAUGUACAUAUUUUGUAUAACCAUAAGUUUAUAUCUCUUUAGAAUAAAUAGCUGAGUGUGAUUUCUGAAUCAUAUGAUAAAUUUAUGAUCAGAGAACAUGAUUGUAUAAUUACCAUUCCUUUAAACUAGUUAAUGUUUCUACUAUGAUACAUGAUGUGGUCUAUCAAGGUGAAUGUUCUAUGUGCACAUGAAAAGAAUGAGUAUUCUGCUGUUGUUGAGUGACCUGUUCCAUAAAUGUCAAUUUGUCCAUUUGUCUGAUGGGUUGUUCUGUUCUUCUGUAUCCUUAGGAUUCCUGAGAAAGGAGUGCUGAAAUCUAAUAAGAAUUGAUUGAGAGAAGAUUUACUUGAUGGACCAGAGCAAUGUUGGCUGUGGAACUGGAGUUUAUCUGGAGACUUUUCAACCAAGCUGCUAAGGAGAGCAAAGCACAAAAGCAUGAGUGCUGCCAAAGUCCUUCUGCCCACUCUCAGCUGAUGCUCUGCAAGCGCUUCUGUGUCUGAAGCUGUAUUCUUGAUGUAUCCGUGAAAAGAGAUGUACUCCAUGUGUACCUACUCCUCUGCCAUCUUGUUCCCAGCGGCAGGCAUAUUCCUAACUACUGGACCACCAGGGAAAUCACUCCAUUUCUUAAGUGAGUGUUGUAGGUAACAUUCUCUGUUGCCUCCGAAGACUUGCUUGGCUCCUUUCUGUGACUGAAACAUAAUUAAAAUAUUGGAAUCUUUACCUUCCCCAUCUUUUCUUGCAGGUAAUGUUUGACUUACUGAAACAAGCUGGAUAUUGAAGAGGACAAAAUUGGCAUACAUGCUAUCUUUGAGGCCAAGUUGAUUGGCACUAGUUAAACCCAAAGAAGGCUAUGUAUAGGGCUUCCCAGGUGGUGCUAGUGAUAAAGAACCUUCCUGCCAGUGCAGGAAAUGUAAGAGAAACUGGUUUGGUCCCUGGGUUGGGAGGAUCCCCCAGAGGAGGGCGUGGCAACCCACUCCAGUAUUCUUGCCUGGAGAAUCCCACGGACAGAGGAACUGGGCAGGCUAUAUAGUCCAUAGUGUCGCAUACAGUUGGACGUGACUGAAGCGAUUUAGCACACACACAUGCACAAGGCUAUGUAGAGUGAGGCACACCCAGGUUCUGGGGCACACCCAGAACCCACAGAGAAAAGAUAAAAUUUUUAGAAAAAACUCUCAAGGACGAAGACUUUGACCUAGAGAUGAAGGUCUUGGACUCAUUUCUCCAGCUUUUCUUACAAAUGACUCCCACCACUUUUUUUUGAAAUGCAAGAUUUUCUUUAUGUUGAUUAGAAGGGACUCAAGUCCAGGGCAAUUGAAAUGUUCAAUCAUGGCUAUGUGUUUUUACAAUAAAGACUCAGUGAAAUUUUAUGCUCCUGUGAGUGUGUCUUGAGAUGAUGAAUUUGUUGCUUGUUCUCAUUGAGUUUCUGAAAAUUUCUCCAACUAGACUGGUCUUUUUGUUCUCUACUCUAAAAAGCUCUAGGGAAGCCAUACCACCGAGCAGUAACUCUAAUAAUGGUACUAUAUUUAAUAUAAUGAAAUUUAACAAUAUGUGUGAAAGGAUAUGACAGAUUCAAAGAUCUAAAGUGAUAAUUAUACUUAUUAUUUAUUAAUCAGCCACCUUUCAUAAAGCUUCCUCUCUGUACCAAAAUAUUUGUUAAGUAAGGGACUUUAAUCACUGUAUUUCUUAUCUAUGUUCUUGAACUUGCAAAAUAGGAACAACAGCACUAUUUUACAAAUGAGAAAAUUGAGGCUUAUAGAGGUUAAAACAAUCUACCCCCAACUUACUCAUAAUUAUUUCACAAUGAUUAAAGAAUAUUAUUUGCAUGCACAUUGUAUGAAAGUGACUGCUACUGAGCCACUUACUCUUUUUGACCAUCAUCUGUGUAUACACACAGAUAAUUUUAAUAUUGUCAUUUCAAAAAAGAAGAGUGAAAUUCUCCAAAGGCUUUUAUUAAAAAAAAUAAUAAUAAUAAUCUUCCCAACCUCCUCCCAUUUUCUUUUUGCCUGAUCCAGCUUGAUCCCAUCCUGUGACUCAACAGUUAUUUCUAUCCUGCCCAACUGUUUGACUUUUACUUACACAAGCUCAGUCCAGAGUCCAGCUGAAUUCCUAGCAGAAUCAGGCUUAUUUCUAUCUGGCAGCUUCAAAUGUAAAAUACACAAGCACUUUUUAUCUUUCUCUUAACUAAUGGAAAGUUUCCUUUAUUUUUAAGCUCUCCAUACCUCCCAGAAACACACAAAGUUUUGUAAAUUUUUACAAAAUUUUCCAAAAUUUUUUACAAAAGCCUUUUAUAAGUAUUGGCCAGGCUCAGUAAAAUAAGUAACUGACUUUUCACCAUGUUGUUCAUUUGUCUGGACUUGUUGCCCACCCACAAGACCGAAGAGUGACCUAAAUCUAGGAACUGUUUUCAGCACAGCACUGAUCCAUGUGAGACGUUCCAAUAGAAUAAGGUCAUGUUAGGGAGACUUGUGUGUGCUGCUAGUCAGAAUUCUGAGAGUUCACCGCUUAUUUUAAAACUUGUCCCAUUGGAGUAUAACUUUCUUAUUUACUUUACACACAUUUGAAAUACUAUAUUAUGGUUUUUAGUCCAUAGGAGGGCAAUGUUGAGCUACAGGAAAAUCCUUGCAGUUUUUUUUUUUUUUUUUACAAAAGAACAUAUAGAAUGUAUUAAUUUAAAAAUUAAUGAACUGAAACAAAUUAACUGAUUUAAACAUACUACAAGAUGAUAGUUAUUUAAUAACAUUCCCACAUUGGAUACUGACUGGCUUCAUGUUUGUCAUACUGAUAUUUAAUUUGUAAAUUGAUGUAAAUUAUUCUUUUCACUCAAAGCCAAACCAUGGCUGUCUCUUUGGAGAAGGUUGUGUUCUCCUUGUGUAGCUUUUAUUUAUUUUAGUUAUUGGAAAUGCUUAAAUUAUUUACAAACAGAAUUUUUUUUUUAAACUGUUUUUGUUAAUGGUCUCCUGAUGAUAGCUCUGCUUGAAGAGAAAAGAAUUCUUAUAGAUCAAAUUUCUAAACUGCUUUGACAUCUUUCUUUGGGUCAGAAUUUGAGGUUCAAUUUAAAUGCCACCAUAAAGUUCUCAGAGCAAACAAUUAACCAAAUGUAAUGUUUAAAGUGAGUUACAAGGAAAAGGAAAUUAAAUUUCAGCCAAAUUUUAAGCUAUAAAAUUUGGUCAUGUAUCAGAAUUAUUUUCCUAAAAAGAGCCAUAAAUCAAUAUCACACACUACCAUUUCAACCUGUAUAAAAGCAAGUCUAUUCUGAAUUUUUAAAGCAAGUAUUGUAUGUAGAAUUUAAGUGUAAUUAUGUGUUUGUGUGAAAAGUGAAAGUGAAAGUCACUCAGUCGUGUUAGACUCUUUGAGACCCCAUGGGCUAUACAGCUCAUGGAAUUCUCCAGGCCAGAACACUGGAGUGGGUAGCCUUUCCCUUCUCCAGGGGAUCUUCCUAACCCAGAGAUCAAACUGAGGUUUCCUGCUUUGCAGGCAGAUUCUUUACCAGAUAAGCCACGAGGGAAUUGUUUGUGUGAGAAAAUGACAAAUUUUGUGGUUUUGAAAGCUUAUCAUACUCUCCUAGAUUGAAAAAGCAACUUGUCUUCUCUAAGUAUCUCUAUGUCCCAUUUACCAGGGCAUUGUGAUAGAAGUCUUAUUGUUGAUAACCUACCUCUCCAUUUCCGUGCAGAAGCAUGGUGCAUCUUGUCUGUGGGUUAGUUCUUGAGUCCAAGGAAGUAGCAAACUACUGGAUCAGUAACAAUAAAAGCCAACAUUUUAGAAAAGCUUACUGUGUGCCAAAGGCUGUUAUCCAAAUACUGUUAUUAAUUUAUUUACCCCUCACAACAAUGCUAUAAGUUCUAUUAUUAGCAUCACUUACUGGAUAAGGAAACUGAGCUAUAGAUUGAGCACAUUAUAGGUGUUCAAGGUCACAGGGCUUCCCAAGAGACAGAGCCAGGUACACUUUAGGGGACUUGCUCCUCAUCACUACUUCAAGGUAAAAAGCAGCAUGGAUGGGGUCUGCUCUGAUGGCCCCGAGGUAAAGAACCCGCCUUCCAAUGCAGGGAAUGUGGUUUGAUCCCUGGAGGGGGAGCUAAGAUCUCCCAUGCCAACCCCGCAUGCCACAAGUAGAGUGCAUGAGUGCCACAGUUAGGGCCACACGCUCUGGAGACCACAUGCCCAGAGGACCAAGACCUGAUGCAGCCGAAAAUAAAUUAACUAAUUUAAAAAACCUCAGAGUGGAUCAAAGAUUACAAGUAGUGAUGCAUGUGGUGUUUCAGAGUAAAGGGAAAAUAUAUGAAUGUUAGGCAAUAUUUAAAAUAUUUCCUCAGUAUCUUUUGUUUAAUAUGGUGCCUCUAGGUGGGUGUGGGUGGAUGUGGGUAGGUAAGUGCCAAAGAGGAACGUCAUUGUAAGACUGACUUUUUCAAUCUACCUGCAUGUCUUAACAUUCAUGAUGACAAGCUUUUGGUUUUUUUUUUUUUUAUAUGUUAAUAAUAUGAUAAAUGGAUUACAAUUCCCCAGAGGGUGGAAAUUGUGCCUUGAUAAUUUUCUGUGUCUUUUGUUACAUCUGAUCCAAUAGCACUGAUAUGUGAAAAUGAUGCAUUUGGAAAAAUAAAUAAUGGAUGACCAAAAAAAUAAUUACUCAGUGUUAAAAGGCAGGUAUGUAUACAGUCAAAUGCAGAAACCACUGGCACACAUCUUUGGUCCAUAGUUUAGAUCUGAGUAAUAUCUUUGGGGGAUUUAUUCUGUCUGUUUACACUGAGGAAGAAUAGUUUGGGUCUGAACUACUGUCUGGAUAGUUCACUUCAACUUUAUCAGUAGGUAUAUUUUUCUCUCUAGUUAUUUACUUUAAGAAAGAUCUCUGACUUCCCAUUUAAGAUAAUAUAAAAAUUUAAACCCCAUGCAAGUUUCUAAAUGAUUUUCAUCAGCAUAUAUGCAGAGAGAUCUAUUUGACUUUUUUAAUUUAAAAAAGUUCUUAUCUAGUUCUUAUCUAGAAGUAAGAAACACCAUAUACAGUAAUUCUUGUGAAAUUCUAGUCAAAUACCGAAUGUUUACCCCAAAUAGGGCAUACUUUUAUCCAUUCUAUGAAAUUUAGAACUCUAUAUAAAAACUAUUAUUGAAUUUCAAGAAAUUGCAAAGAGUAGUUUCUCAUGGCAAAGAAACCCUUCAGGGAGGGUCAACAUUGGUGCACCCCUAGGGGUGUGUAUGUAUGUAUGCGUUGUGUGUGCACAUGCAUGCAUGAUAAUGAAAACAAAAAUAAAUGCAGAUUAAAACACAAAGUAAAGGAUAUAGAUUUUACAGGAAGAAAAUGAGAAAAGAAAGAAAGAAAAAAGAAAGAAACUAAUUAGUGAAGGAAAAAGGAAGGAGAAUGGGAUGGAUUGUAGCAAUUUGUUCAGUAAUUUCCCCAUUUCCUAUUCAUCCUCAGCCCAUUAAUAAAGAAUUUUAAUUGAAUAUGUGCCACAAUAAAGCCUAUAGGUCAUUUUAAUGACUGCAGCUGUGUGAACACAUAGGGGAGGUAGUGCUGUCACUUAACUGGUCUUGCAUCUCAUUAGGCUGAAAGGUUAAUUUUCAUCUACCAUCCCAUCCCACCCAGCAGUGGGCACACAGACUUCCUUAAAAAACUCCCAUCCUCAGGUAUCUUUGUAAGGCAUGGAGAAAUAUGGAGGAAAUGGAUCAAAAUUCAAGAGAAGCAGAGAGAGAGAAAGAAGACAGAAGAAAAAUGGAAGAUGAUGAGAACUUCAUUUUAACGUUAUUAGGUUGAAAUUUGAAUUUGGUUACAUGAGAACAACUAGAGAUGAAGAGAUAUGUGUAAAAUCUUCACUACAUAACAUAAAAUAGUUUCCUCUUCUGGCCUCCACACUGCAUAGAUGUUUAAACAAAUCAGUUAAUAAUGACUUUGAGUGGAAUCAGUUCCAUCAUGUAAUUUAUUCCCAGAGACAUCGACUGAAGCUCAUUCCUCUAGAAAGAAAUCAAUACAUUUCUUGUUCAGAUGUGAUUGAAUCCAGAACCACUCAAAGCUGAAUGGAUCAGCCCUAUGGAAGGAGUGAGAGUAAUAAAACAAUUUUAUCUGUUGUAAUUUUACUAAUUUUAGUCUAAUUUCUAAUAACUCAGAAAUUCAGUGACUUUUCAAGGCUAACUGAAACAGCUACUGAUAUCAUU